GACGAACGCUGGCGGCGUGCUUAACACAUGCAAGUCGAACGGAAAGGCCCUGCUUUGCUGGGGUACUCGAGUGGCGAACGGGUGAGUAACACGUGGGUAAUCUGCCCUUGACUUUGGGAUAACUUGGGGAAACUGGGGCUAAUACCGGAUAGGACCUCCUGCUGCAUGUUGGGGGGUAGAAUGUUUCGGCGGUGGGGGAUGGACGCGCGGCUUAUCAGUUUGUGGGGGGGGUGGGGGCUUACGAAGGCUUUGACGGGUAGCCGCGCUGAGGGGGUGACCGGACACAUUGGGACUGAGAUACGGCCCAGACCCCUGCGGGGGGGAGGAGGGGGGAAUAUUGCAAAAGGGGCGGAACCCUGACGCAGCAGCGCCGUGGGGGGUAUGGGGCCUUGGGGUUUAAAAACCGUUUGCGCAGGUCACGAAGUGUGUGUGACGGUACCUGGUAAAGAAGCACCGGCUAACUACGUG
rnacentral:rRNA from 1 species